GCUUCUAGGCGACGUGAGCGAAGUGGUUGCUUUUUUUCUGAUGACUUCGCUCUGUUUGUACAGAAAAGCGAAAAACAAGUCGCCCUAAAAUCUGGCGCCCGAGGCAGUUGUCAUACAUGUAUAUAUCACAUAUAUCAGCUUCUAAUCAGCUUGUAAAAACAUUACAUAAUCAAUUAGCGAAACUUAUCCCGUUGGCACAAGACCACAGUUACUUGCCCUUGGUUGACCACAAUAAGGAAGUGCUUACUCGGAAAAUAGUUCCUCUGUUUGAUGGUGAAUAUUGGUGAAAAAUUGAAUGAAAGACAUGCACUAAAAGGCAUAAUUUAAGAGAGGAGAUGUGAAAUAAUAGUUAGAUGUGAAUUUUGAUAGGAUUAAAUUGUCUGAAUAUGCAAAACCGGUCACUUGAAGAGGACAGAUUUUGCCUGUUUGCAGCCGUCAAAAGACUAUUUACCAUAGGCGUAUGAUUUGGGUAAACAUACUGAAAAAAGGAGCCGGUCAACCCAUAAUUUCUUGUGGCUGGAAUUUUUUCUCUUGGAUAGUUCUAUUCAGGGCAGGUUGGUGAUUUUAUGACUGGCGAGAUACAUAGAACGGUUCCACCAAGAGUUGGUAACACCUCCACCACAGACGUAUGAGUGACGCCUACAGCUUGAACAGUCCCCGGCAUAGCAGUUUACAGUGGCAGUUAGGACACUAGGGCUGACGUCUCAGUCACUUUUGGUCGUAGCACCCGGACAUUUCCAGAGGUUUCCCCUCCAUCAGCAGUAGGUCUAGCCACUAGAGAGAAUUCUUCUGCAGUCAUCCUUGAGGUAGAGGGCUUCUGUUCAGUGUCUCCACAGUUCAUGCUACUCAGCUGUAGACCUUUGUUCCAUGGGAUGCUGCCAGGAGAAAAUCUAGAAGACUUUCUAUUGCGGUCUCCUUUCAUAGUUGUGCAGUUGAAGUGAAUUGUAUAAAAGUUGGUGAUUUUAUGACUGGCGAGAUACAUAGAACGGUUCCACCAAGAGUUGGUAACACCUCCACCACAGACGUAUGAGUGACGCCUACAGCUUGAACAGUCCCCGGCAUAGCAGUUUACAGUGGCAGUUAGGACACUAGGGCUGACGUCUCAGUCACUUUUGGUCGUAGCACCCGGACAUUUCCAGAGGUUUCCCCUCCAUCAGCAGUAGGUCUAGCCACUAGAGAGAAUUCUUCUGCAGUCAUCCUUGAGGAUAGAGGGCUUCUGUUCAGUGUCUCCACAGUUCAUGCUACUCAGCUGUAGACCUUUGUUCCAUGGGAUGCUGCCAGGAGAAAAUCUAGAAGACUUUCUAUUGCAGUCUCCUUUCAUAGUUGUGCAGUUGAAGUGAAUUGUAUAAAAGUAAGUGUUUUUCUGAGGAUUACCAAAAAUUUGAUUCCUAUUUAUAUUAAACUUGGCAUUCAAAGAAUGCGGAAAAUGCCUGUCAACAACCCCAGAAAUUCCUGGAUUCCACAGAAGUGACACAGAAGUCAAGCUUGUCUCUACUGGAAUGUUGUGUAUUGGACAAUAUACAAGCCUGCCAGAGGCUGGACCAGACAGUGGCACAUUUCAGCAUGAGAUAUCUUUGGAACCACAGGUCAUAAAAUUGUAAAUUACCUAUCAUUUUGUUUGUUAAAUUAUAGCCUUUUAGAAAAGUAAAAAUUUGACAGGUUCAGAAUUUUUGUUAAUUUUUUUUUUUAAUUUA
rnacentral:lncRNA from 1 species